rnacentral:rRNA from 1 species
UACGGGGGGGGCAAGCGUUGUUCGGAAUUACUGGGCGUAAAGGGCUCGUAGGUGGCCAACUAAGUCAGACGUGAAAUCCCUCGGCUUAACCGGGGAACUGCGUCUGAUACUGGAUGGCUUGAGUUUGGGAGAGGGAUGCGGAAUUCCAGGUGUAGCGGUGAAAUGCGUAGAUAUCAGGAGGAACACCGGUGGCGAAGGCGGCUACCUGGACAGAGUCUGACGCUGAGGCACGAAAGCUAGGGGAGCAAACAGG